ACUUUGGUAGAUAGAGAUUGUAUGACACCACAAAUUUGCAACACCUACAGCAGUCCAGCCUAAACAAAUUGCAUGGCGGAUUUACAUAUUGUUGUAACAAUUCGAGUAUAUUUGGAUUCUUCAGUCAGAAGUUGUGUUUAUUUGUAUGAUAUUUUGUACUAAAUCUAAUUUUAAUUCUCUCUAUAUAAGGAUUUCUUUAAUAAGAAAUACAUAUUAGACCCUUUUCUGUGGUCUCAUGCUUCAUACUGUAAGCUGUCUUACAUGUAGCUUGAACAGCUGUAUGUGGGGUCUUUGUAUUACCCAAAAUGAAGCCUACAGCUAUCCGCCGGUGAACACAUCUUUCUCGUUGGAGCUUGAAGAGACGUGAGUGCUCUAUGGUUCUGGAGAAAUCUGCUGAACACAUCUUACCUCAAGGAAUUACCCGCUCGGAGGCCGGUUAAAAUGCACUCAGCCUACUAAUCUGGAUAAUCAUUUAUUAGAGCGCUAUUUUAACCAGUUUUGCUUUACAUAUUAUGGUGAACAGUACAUCCAUUUGUAUCAGUUGGUUAAACAUAAUUAGAUAUUAUAUUUGUGGAUAUUCUCCAUAUUGUAUGAUCGGAACAGUAUAGCAUAUAUUCUAUUAAAUUGUUUUAUGUUUCAACUGUUUUAGAUGAUCCUUGUUUUUGAUUGGAUUCUAGGUUAAACUGCGGCUGCUGAAAUUAUUUUAUGCUGUCUUAUUUAUGAUUAUGGUUAUAGAUUCAGGUAAAAAUUUAUGAGGAAUAUGCUUUCUUCUUUGGGCGUUAUAUCUUGGGUGAGGUUGAACUUUGUAAUUCAAAUUUAGCUUAUUUAAUUAAUUUUUAUAUUUAAAUUAUGAUACUCACGAACUUGGUCUAAUUUUAGUAAUAUAUAUGUAUUCCUUUGUUCGUAGACACUACAUACGAAUCAAAAUGAGUGAAUCUACACCCUAUGUAUGUAGACUGAUCUCUAAAAUGUGAAUUGAGAAACGGAGGGAGGAGUUUUUUUUUUGUACAGACCAAAUCUCUAAAAUUGAUUUGCGUUGAGUGGUUUUUUUGGAUUUAUACAGACCAAAUCUCUAAAAUUGAAGAAAGGAGGGAUUUGUUUUGGUUAUUUUUUUAGAAUUAUGGCAAAAAUGCAUGUAUUUAGGAACAUGUUUUGUUGUGUUUCUGUGUCUUCGGUAUCAUUUCAAUCUGUAUUUAUCUUGUUUUUGAGAGGACAGAAUAUUAUGGAGUAAAUAUGUUAGAAAUGUCUAUAGCUGUUGUGGAUCUUAUCUCUGUCUGGGAGAUUCUCUGAGGAUACUGAUCGUAUGUUCAGAUCCUGGAUGAAAGGUGGUUCAAUUCCACCAAGGUUCUUUAGCGGUCUAAUAUUUGAGCAGUUCAAUCUGAUUGUUUUGUUUACUUGUUAUAUGUUAUAGUUGUGAAAAUAUUAUUGAUAAUUUUUGAAUCUUCUGUUUUUGUGUUGCAGGUUAGACUUUACAAAUAAAGAUACUGGGGGAGUAGGGCGAAAAAAGGCCCUCAACCAGCUAUAUUCUAUUGGGAGAUUCCAGUGAAACAUCCCAAUUCUCCCACAUACUAUAGAAAUUGACAUACUAUAGAAAUUGACACCUUUCAAUACGCAACUGCUCUGCAUGGCCCACAAACUUAAUUAAAAAAAAACUUAAUAACGAUUUGUCUCUACGGCUGGUCAUAGUGGGGGAGUAACUUAUAUAGUGUCCUGCUUAUAUAGUGUCCUGCGUAUGACAAGUUAUCACCUCCAUGGUUUCAACUAAAUAGUAGUGUCAUAGAUAUUGUUUCAUUUAUUAGUUCAUAGAUUCAUUUUGCUUUGGGAAACGCUAUGUACAGUAAGAUACUCCCUCCGUUUCUAAAUAUUUGUCUUUUUUGAGAUUUUAACAAAUGACUACAUACAAAGCAAAAUAGUGAAUUUAUACUCUAAAACAUGUCUACAUAUAUCCGCAUGUUGUAGUCCAUUUGAAUGUUUAGAAAGACAAAUAUUUGGGUACGGCGGGAGUAUUAUCUUAUCGCAAGCAUCUUUUUCCUCAUUAAAUACUUGCCACAUAGACUAGCCACAAUGAAGAGUAACAUAUACAUAUCCCUAGACUAUAUUACUACUUCUAUAGUGGGUAGCAACAUAAGUAUGGUAACAUGCAAAGUUUCAUUUAUUAGGUUGUAGACUCAUAUUGCAUUGUUACAUGUGAUGUUAUAGUAACUUAGACUAUCUCUCUCCUCAUUAACUCAUUGUGACAUAAACAAAUUUGUUGAGUUGGACUCGAUGUUACUGCCGAAGUUACUCCCACUGUGGCUAGUCUAAGUAAAAUUGUUUUGGAAUGUGUUACCUAAGUUACCCCACUAUGGCUAGCCUAAUCGUAAGUGUUGAACGGGAAAUUGAUCCAUUGCGCCGUUGCCAACCAUUGGUGGAGAGAGAACAUCACACGCAAAUGGGGAUUGAGCUUCAGUGACGUAGGUGCAGUUGGGUCACUGGCAUGUGUGCCCAACAGGCAUAUGGCCCACAUGUAGUGACCCAACUGCAUCGAAGCAGCAUUCGGCAAAUGGGACAUGUAGUUUCAUAGUAUUGUCACAUUGACAAAUGGGGCCUUGUAGGUUAUGUCACAUUGACAAAUGGGACAUGUAGGUCAGAUUGAGUACUAUGAAAGAAUCCAAGUUCGAAGUACCUUUUGGCCAAAGAAAAACCUGCUUCCCGACACGAUUGCCUCUUUUAUCUUUAUAUAGAUGGAUUCUAUGGGGUAAUUAUUUAGUAAGUUUAUUUUAUACAAGAGCCCCUUCUAUUUGAUAGAGAAGGGUCCCAUGAUCCCGAGCCGAUCUUACCUUGGCUUUUGGCCCUUUCUAGCCGACAUGUCUGAAGUCAAAAUAUCUCUAUUUUGAUUUCAUACUCCUUGCCACAUAGGGCUGGUUGAUCAGGGAGAUGCAGCCCUGCACGUCAUGGUUUCGGGCCGCGAAAUCAUCCACAUGGGAGAUUGAUGGGAUGCGACUGUUGGUCCAGUUGGAGGAAGAGCAAGGAGGUCUCUUAUACAUGAGUUCUGUGAGAAGGCAAUCAGAUGAGGAGUGAUUAGUUUGGUUAUUCCUGUAAGACAAAUGAUCUUUUGGUUACCGAUAUGGCAUACUCCAAUUUUUUAUUUGCUUUUGUUACAAGUGAAAAAAUUAUACAGAGUUGAUGCAUUCAUAUAAUUAUCUGUUCUACAUUACAGUGAGGCGUAAUCAUGUUAUGUUAUGGUGUCCAAAGUAGAAUAUAUUCAAGAGGCUGGGCUGACCUAUUCUGAUAGUCUACAUAUUAGGUCACUCCCGUCUUCCAUAUAAAUAUUAACAACAUAUUGAGGAUGUAAAAAAUCGAAGCAUCUUCGACACAAACCAGGCCUGCAAGUUUACUUGGUUUUCUAACAGUUCGACCGUGUUGGAUGCUCCUGUUGCUUUUGUUGUUUUCCUCCUCUUGGCUAAUGUUUAAUUGAUUUGUAGUCUUUUUUCCAGAUGUGGCAUGUUUAAGUUUCAGAAAUGGGGGCUGCCACGCACUCAUGCUCAUAUUUCACCGGCCCUAUUUUUCCUUGCCACCAUUGGAUCUGAAGUAACAAUUAGUUAGUGGUGUUCUUCAUGUUACUGUUAUCUCUAUAUAUUCUUCUUUUUGAAACAAUCCUUUUAGAAUCUGGUAUGUGAUCUUGCUUUAUUAGAUAUUGGCAAUUUGCAUUGCCAUUUAGCUGUUGUGACUAUGCAGUAGCGCAAAGUAGAAAUUGAUUUUCAUGAUGUUUUGUGGUAGGUGUAUUUUGUUCCUUCCAAAAAUUUGGUUCUAAAAAAUUUAGAUAUGUUAUGUUAAACAUGGUUAAAGUGAAAUGCAUUAUCCAGAAGCGAAGAAUUUAUUAUGCAGCUGAAGUGAUAUAAUAAUGUUGGCCACCCCAACCGAACUUUUUCUGUGGGUGCUCAGUUUAUCUGGAGUGAAUGACUAUAGAUAUACUUGGCUUUAGAAAGAUAUAUUUGGUAUAAUAUUUGAUUUAGUUUCUCUAGGUAUUGAUGCCAUUAUCAGUACGGAUGCCUUUAGUGGCGUAUAUCAGCUGGUCUUUGCUUCUUUUGAAAUAUGGCAACCUUCUACUCAUUCAUCACCAUGGUUCUUGAUGCCAUCGCCUAAACUUACAUUUGUGAUGACCAGAUCAAACGGUUUACGGAGCGACGAAACACACCCCCGCCCCCCAGACGACUGAGGUGGCACGGGCGGAGACUCGGCCGCGCCGGAGGCCACCGGGCUAAGCCCAGGCGGCGGACGGCGGCGGCGGAGGCGUUUUCCUCUCGCCAGGCCGCGAGAUCUUGGGAUGGGAAGGCUCGAUCCUCUUUUUUCGCGUCGCGCGAGGGAUCCGUCGGGGGCUUCUGCUGCGGCACCGGCGGGCCCCUGUGCCUCCUGGCAGCGGCCUUUCGCGGGUGGCAGCCGCGAUAGCUCCGUCGGCGGGCGCCUGGCCUUCGGCCCGGCUGCUCCUUUCCGACCCAUCGGGGCGGGCGCGGCCCCCCCGCCUGCCUUGUGGGGCGCGGUCCUUGGUCGGGCUGGUGGAGGGCGGGCCUCUGGUGGCUCCUGUUGCGCAGCGGUGGUGGGAUGCCAGAUCGGCCGGAUCUGGCCUGUCGGCGUCUUCUCGUCCGGCGGGGAGGUGAGGUGUGGUGGCUCUCCGGUGCUGCUGGCGCGGUGGCUUCGCGGGAGGUGGGUGGGUCAGCGAAGGUGCAGUGCAUGAGGGUGCUGGUGGUGUUGGGAUACUCCGGGCGAAAGCUUGGCUGGUCUUGCCGGCCGGCGGCGUCGGCGUCUGUAGACGUCGUUUAACCUCCUUGGAGGCGUUGUUGUGGAGUCCGGCAUCCUCUUACGCCCUUGGAUCUUGCUCUUCGGGUGAAAGCCUAAGGCCUGGUUGGGUCGAGCGACGGCGUCGACAUCGUCGCUUUCCUCUUUGGGGCGUCGUCUUGAAGAGCUUUGGAUCCCGGUCGCAUGCUUCAUGGGCUGGACGCUCGCGGCAUUGUGGUCGGCAGGUGCCCGUCUGGCAAUGCGGAUGUUGCGCGGCUUCCUGUUUGUGGCAACGAUGGCGGCUUCGGCGGAGUCAGGUUUGCUGAUGGUUCUUGGUAGUCGGUCUCUUCCGGCGUGUUCGAGGAGUCGCCGCUCUGGCGCUGGCUCGGCGCAAGCCCAAUAUUUUUCUCCUGCAAUGCUCGUCGACAGAGUCGGAGCUGCCUGGUCGCCGGCGCGUGUGGUUGACUAUUUGACAUCGGCCGGCGCAAGCCUCGACGCUUCCCCUCGGCGGCGUGUGUGCGUUCUUGUGUGGGUUGUCAGGUCGCCCUGUAUGCCUUGUUUCUGCAGGCCAGUUGUGACGAUUUUCGCCCGGUUUUCCGUUUAUUAACCGGGCAAUUCUCUUCGAGCUUAUUUAAUGAAUCGGGCCCUAAGGGACCGCGUUUUAAAAA